ACUCAAAUGAAUUGACGGGGAUCCACACAAGCGGUGGAGCAUGUGGUUUAAUUCGACACUAAGCGAAGAACCUCACCAGGACUUGACAUCCUAAGAACACCCUGGAAACAGGGUGGUGCCCGCAAGGGAGCUUAGUGACAGGUGCUGCAUGGUCGUCGUCAGCUCGUGUCGUGAGAUGUCGGGUUAAGUCCUCCAACGAGCGCAACCCUCGCUGUAUGUUGUAUUUCUCAUACAGGACUGCCCUCGCAAGAGGGAGGAAGGCGGGGAUGACGUCAGAUCAGCAUGGCUCUUACGUCCUGGGCCACACACGUGCUACAAUGGCCGGUACAAUGGGAAGCAAAGGAGUAAUCCGGAGCCAAUCCCCAAAGCCGGUCUCAGUUCGGAUUGAGGGCUGCAACUCGCCCUCAUGAAGUUGGAAUCGCUAGUAACCGUGUAUCAGCUAUGGCACGGUGAAUAUGUUCCUGGAUCUUGCACACACCGCCCGU
rnacentral:rRNA from 1 species